rnacentral:rRNA from 1 species
AUUGAACGCUGGCGGCAUGCUUUACACAUGCAAGUCGAACGGUAACAGGUUAAGCUGACGAGUGGCGAACGGGUGAGUAAUGCAUCGGAACGUGCCCGGUCGUGGGGGAUAACGCAGCGAAAGCUGCGCUAAUACCGCAUACGAUCUGAGGAUGAAAGCGGGGGACCGUAAGGCCUCGCGCGAUCGGAGCGGCCGAUGUCAGAUUAGGUAGUUGGUGGGGUAAAGGCUCACCAAGCCAACGAUCUGUAGCUGGUCUGAGAGGACGACCAGCCACACUGGGACUGAGACACGGCCCAGACUCCUGCGGGAGGCAGCAGUGGGGUAUUUUGGACAAUGGGCGAAAGCCUGAUCCAGCAAUGCCGCGUGCAGGAAGAAGGCCUUCGGGUUGUAAACUGCUUUUGUACGGAGCGAAAAGGUCUCCUCUAAUACAGGGGGCUCAUGACGGUACCGUAAGAAUAAGCACCGGCUAACUACGUGCCAGCAGCCGCAGUAA